rnacentral:rRNA from 1 species
AUUGAACGCUGGCGGCGUGCCUAACACAUGCAAGUCGAGCGGUAACAGGUGUAGCAAUACAUGCUGACGAGCGGCGAACGGGUGAGUAAUGCUUCGGAAUCUACCUUAUGGUGGGGAAUGACUAGCCGAAAGGUUAGCUAAUACCGCAUACGUCCUACGGGAGAAAGCAGGGGAUCGCAAGACCUUGCGCCAAAAGAUGAGCCGAAGUCGGAUUAGCUAGUUGGUAGGGUAACGGCCUACCAAGGCGACGAUCCGUAGCUGGUCUGAGAGGACGACCAGCCACACUGGGACUGAGACACGGCCCAGACUCCUACGGGAGGCAGCAGUGGGGAAUAUUGGACAAUGGGGGAAACCCUGAUCCAGCGACGCCGCGUGUGUGAAGAAGGCCUGCGGGUUGUAAAGCACUUUUAGUGGGGAUGAAAUGUGCAGGGUUAAUACCUCUGCAUUUUGACCUAACCCACAGAAAAAGCACCGGCUAACUCUGUGCCAGCCGCCGCAGUAA